rnacentral:rRNA from 1 species
AACGAACGCUGGCGGCGUGCUUAACACAUGCAAGUCGAACGGUAAGGCCCUUCGGGGUACACGAGUGGCGAACGGGUGAGUAACACGUGGGUGAUCUGCCCUGCACUUCGGGAUAAGCCUGGGAAACUGGGUCUAAUACCGGAUAGGACCACUGCCUGCAUGGGUGGUGGUGGAAAGCUUUUGCGGUGUGGGAUGGGCCCGCGGCCUAUCAGCUUGUUGGUGGGGUGAUGGCCUACCAAGGCGACGACGGGUAGCCGGCGUGAGAGGGUGACCGGCCACACUGGGAAUGAGACACGGCCAGAACUCAUCCGGGGGGCAGCAGUGGGGAAUAUUGCACAAUGGGCGCAAGCCUGAUGCAGCGACGCCGCGUGAGGGAUGACGGCCUUCGGGUUGUAAACCUCUUUCAGCACCGACGAAGCGCAAGUGACGGUAGGUGCAGAAGAAGGACCGGCCAACUACGUGCCAGCAGCCGCCGUAA